UACGUAGGGGGCAAGCGUUGUCCGGAUUUAUUGGGCGUAAAGAGCGUGUAGGCGGCCAUGUAGGUCCGUUGUGAAAACUCGAGGCUCAACCUCGAGACGCCGAUGGAAACCAUGUGGCUAGAGUCCGGAAGAGGAGAGUGGAAUUCCUGGUGUAGCGGUGAAAUGCGCAGAUAUCAGGAGGAACACCGGUGGCGAAGGCGGGUCUCUGGGAAGUAACUGACGCUGAGAAGCGAAAGCAUGGGUAGCAAACAGG
rnacentral:rRNA from 1 species